rnacentral:rRNA from 1 species
GGAGGCAUCUUCUUUCGGCCAAAGGAGGCAACUCCGGAGACGGAUGGGCAUGCGUGACAUUAGCUUGUUGGCGGGGUAACGGCCCACCAAGGCGACGAUGUCUAGGGGUUCUGAGAGGAAGGUCCCCCACACUGGUACUGAGACACGGACCAGACUCCUACGGGAGGCAGCAGUGAGGAAUAUUGGUCAAUGGGCGAGAGCCUGAACCAGCCAAGUCGCGUGAAGGAUGACGGCCCUACGGGUUGUAAACUUCUUUUGUCAGGGAGCAAUUGAGUCCACGUGUGGGCUUAGCGAGAGUACCUGAAGAAAAAGCAUCGGCUAACUCCGUGCCAGCAGCCGCGGUAAUACGGAGGAUGCGAGCGUUAUCCGGAUUUAUUGGGUUUAAAGGGUGCGUAGGCGGAAUAUCAAGUCAGCGGUAAAAAUUCGGGGCUCAACCCCGUCGUGCCGUUGAAACUGAUGUUCUUGAGUGGGCGAGAAGUAUGCGGAAUGCGUGGUGUAGCGGUGAAAUGCAUAGAUAUCACGCAGAACUCCGAUUGCGAAGGCAGCAUACCGGCGCCCAACUGACGCUGAAGCACGAAAGCGUGGGUAUCGAACAGGAUUAGAUACCCUGGUAGUCCACGCAGUAAACGAUGAAUGAUAGUUGUCCGGA